UACGAAGGGGGCGAGCGUUGUUCGGAUUUACUGGGCGUAAAGGGCGCGCAGGCGGCUCAUUUUGUCAGGCGUGAAAGCCCCGGGCUUAACCUGGGAACUGCGUUUGAUACGGAUGGGCUAGAGUUCGGGAGAGGAGAGUGGAAUUCCCAGUGUAGAGGUGAAAUUCGUAGAUAUUCGGAAGAACACCAGUGGCGAAGGCGGCUCACUGGACCGGCAUUGACGCUGAGGUGCGAAAGCGUGGGGAGCAAACAGG
rnacentral:rRNA from 1 species